rnacentral:rRNA from 1 species
GACGUAGGGCGCAAGCGUUGUCCGGAUUUAUUGGGCGUAAAGAGCUCGUAGGCGGUGUGUCGCGUCGGCCGUGAAAACCUGGGGCUUAACUCUGGGCGUGCGGUCGAUACGGGCAGGCUAGAGUUCGGUAGGGGAGACUGGAAUUCCUGGUGUAGCGGUGAAAUGCGCAGAUAUCAGGAGGAACACCGGUGGCGAAGGCGGGUCUCUGGGCCGAUACUGACGCUGAGGAGCGAAAGCGUGGGGAGCGAACAGG